UCCCUCGAGCCGGAUUUGAACCAGCGACCUAAGGAUCACCGUUGUAACAUCUACAGUCCUCCACUCUGCCAACUGAGCUAUCAAGGG
rnacentral:tRNA from 1 species